rnacentral:rRNA from 1 species
CGUGUAGGCGGCCAGGUAGGUCCGUUGUGAAAACUCGAGGCUCAACCUCGAGACGCCGAUGGAAACCAUCUGGCUAGAGUCCGGAAGAGGAGAGUGGAAUUCCCGGUGUAGCGGUGAAAUGCGCGGAUAUCGGGAAGAACACCCGUGGCUAAGGCGGCUCUCUAGUACGGUACUGACGCUGAGACGCGAAAGCGUGGGGAGCGAACA